rnacentral:rRNA from 1 species
GGGAGCUUGCUCCCUGAUUUAGCGGCGGACGGGUGAGUAAUGCCUAGGAAUCUGCCUGGUAGUGGGGGAUAACGUUCCGAAAGGAACGCUAAUACCGCAUACGUCCUACGGGAGAAAGCAGGGGACCUUCGGGCCUUGCGCUAUCAGAUGAGCCUAGGUCGGAUUAGCUAGUUGGUGAGGUAAUGGCUCACCAAGGCGACGAUCCGUAACUGGUCUGAGAGGAUGAUCAGUCACACUGGAACUGAGACACGGUCCAGACUCCUACGGGAGGCAGCAGUGGGGAAUAUUGGACAAUGGGCGAAAGCCUGAUCCAGCCAUGCCGCGUGUGUGAAGAAGGUCUUCGGAUUGUAAAGCACUUUAAGUUGGGAGGAAGGGCAGUAAGUUAAUACCUUGCUGUUUUGACGUUACCGACAGAAUAAGCACCGGCUAACUUCGUGCCAGCAGCCGCGGUAAUACGAAGGGUGCAAGCGUUAAUCGGAAUUACUGGGCGUAAAGCGCGCGUAGGUGGUUCGUUAAGUUGGAUGUGAAAGCCCCGGGCUCAACCUGGGAACUGCAUCCAAAACUGGCGAGCUAGAGUACGGUAGAGGGUGGUGGAAUUUCCUGUGUAGCGGUGAAAUGCGUAGAUAUAGGAAGGAACACCAGUGGCGAAGGCGACCACCUGGACUGAUACUGACACUGAGGUGCGAAAGCGUGGUGAUGCAAACAGUGAUUAGAUCCCGUGGUAGUCCACGCCGUAAACGAUGUCAACUAGCCGUUGGAAUCCUUGAGAUUUUAGUGGCGCAGCUAACGCAUUAAGUUGACCGCCUGGGGAGUACGGCCGCAAGGUUAAAACUCAAAUGAAUUGACGGGGGCCCGCACAAGCGGUGGAGCAUGUGGUUUAAUUCGAAGCAACGCGAAGAACCUUACCUGGCCUUGACAUGCUGAGAACUUUCCAGAGAUGGAUUGGUGCCUUCGGGAACUCAGACACAGGUGCUGCAUGGCUGUCGUCAGCUCGUGUCGUGAGAUGUUGGGUUAAGUCCCGUAACGAGCGCAACCGUUGUCCUUAGUUACCAGCCCCUCGGGUGGGCAGUAUAAGGAGACUGCCGGUGACAAACCGGAGGAA